rnacentral:rRNA from 1 species
GAUGAACGCUGGCGGCGUGCCUAAUACAUGCAAGUCGAGCGAACGGACGAGAAGCUUGCUUCUCUGAUGUUAGCGGCGGACGGGUGAGUAACACGUGGAUACCCUACCUAUAAGACUGGGAUAACUUCGGGAAACCGUAGCUAAUACCGGAUAAUAUUCUGAACCGCAUGGUUCAAAAGUGAAAGACGGUCUUGCUGUCACUUAUAGAUGGAUCCGGGCUGCAUUAGCUAGUUGGUAAGGUAACGGCUUAUCAAGGCAACGAUGCAUAGCCGACCUGAGAGAGUGAUCGGCGACACUGGAGCUGAGACACGGACCAGACUCCUACGAGAGGCAGCAGAAGGGAAUCUUCCGCAGUGGUCGAAAGCCUGACGGAGCGACGCGGAGUGAGUGGUGAAGAUGUUGGGAGCGUAAAACUCUGUUAUUAGGGGAGAACAUAUGCGUAAGUAGCUGAAGAGAUCGUGACGGUACCUGAUCAGAAAGCCACGGCUAACUACGUG